ACGGGGGGGGCAAGCGUUGUUCGGAAUUAUUGGGCGUAAAGGGUCUGUAGGUGGCCAACUAAGUCAGACGUGAAAUCCCUCAGCUUAACUGGGGAACUGCGUCUGAUACUGGUUGGCUUGAGUGCCGGAGAGGGUGGCGGAAUUCCCCAAGUAGAGGUGAAAUUCGUAGAUAUGGGGAGGAACACCGGUGGCGAAGGCGGCCACCUGGACGGCAACUGACGCUGAGACGCGAAAGCGUGGGGAGCAAACAGGA
rnacentral:rRNA from 1 species